rnacentral:rRNA from 1 species
AUUGAACGCUGGCGGCAGGCCUAACCCAUGCAAGUCGAACGAGUGGCGGACGGGUGAGUAAUGUCUGGGAAACUGCCUGAUGGAGGGGGAUAACUACUGUAAACGGUAGCUACUACCGCAUAACAUCAGAUGUGACCAGAUGGGCGGUGCUUGUUGGUGGGGUAACGGCUCACCAAGGCGACGAUCCCUAGCUGGUCUGAGAGGAUGACCAGCCACACUGGAACUGAGACACGGUCCAGACUCUUACGGGAGGCAGAAGUGGGGAAGACUGCAAAACGGGCGCAAGCCGGAUGCAGCCAUGCCUCGUGUAUGAAGAAGGCCUUCGGGUUGUAAAGUACUUUCAGCGGUGAGGCGUUAACCGCAGAAGAAGCACCGGCUAACUCCGUGCAAGCAGCCGCGGUAAUUC